rnacentral:rRNA from 1 species
AGAGUUUGAUCCUGGCUCAGGACGAACGCUGGCGGCGCGCCUAACACAUGCAAGUCGAACGAGAGAGAGGGAGCUUGCUUCCUCAAUCGAGUGGCGAACGGGUGAGUAACGCGUGAGGAACCUGCCUCAAAGAGGGGGACAACAGUUGGAAACGACUGCUAAUACCGCAUAAGCCCACAGCUCGGCAUCGAGCAGAGGGAAAAGGAGCAAUCCGCUUUGAGAUGGCCUCGCGUCCGAUUAGCUAGUUGGUGAGGUAAUGGCCCACCAAGGCGACGAUCGGUAGCCGGACUGAGAGGUUGAACGGCCACAUUGGGACUGAGACACGGCCCAGACUCCUACGGGAGGCAGCAGUGGGGAAUAUUGCACAAUGGGGGAAACCCUGAUGCAGCGACGCCGCGUGGAGGAAGAAGGUCUUCGGAUUGUAAACUCCUGUUGUUGAGGAAGAUAAUGACGGUACUCAACAAGGAAGUGACGGCUAACUACGUGCCAGCAGCCGCGGUAAAACGUGGGUCACAAGCGUUGUCCGGAAUUACUGGGUGUAAAGGGAGCGCAGGCGGGAAGACAAGUUGGAAGUGAAAUCUAUGGGCUCAACCCAUAAACUGCUUUCAAAACUGUUUUUCUUGAGUAGUGCAGAGGUAGGCGGAAUUCCCGGUGUAGCGGUGGAAUGCGUAGAUAUCGGGAGGAACACCAGUGGCGAAGGCGGCCUACUGGGCACCAACUGACGCUGAGGCUCGAAAGUGUGGGUAGCAAACAGGAUUAGAUACCCUGGUAGUCCACACCGUAAACGAUGAUUACUAGGUGUUGGAGGAUUGACCCCUUCAGUGCCGCAGUUAACACAAUAAGUAAUCCACCUGGGGAGUACGACCGCAAGGUUGAAACUCAAAGGAAUUGACGGGGGCCCGCACAAGCAGUGGAGUAUGUGGUUUAAUUCGACGCAACGCGAAGAACCUUACCAAGUCUUGACAUCCUGCGACGAUGCUGGAAACAGUAUUUUCCUUCGGGACGCAGAGACAGGUGGUGCAUGGUUGUCGUCAGCUCGUGUCGUGAGAUGUUGGGUUAAGUCCCGCAACGAGCGCAACCCUUACUGUCAGUUACUACGCAAGAGGACUCUGGCAGGACUGCCGUUGACAAAACGGAGGAAGGUGGGGAUGACGUCAAAUCAUCAUGCCCUUUAUGACUUGGGCUACACACGUACUACAAUGGCGUUAAACA